GACGAACGCUGGCGGCGUGCUUAACACAUGCAAGUCGAGCGGUAAGGCCCUUUCGGGGGUACACGAGCGGCGAACGGGUGAGUAACACGUGGGUGACCUGCCCUCAGCUCUGGGAUAAGCCUGGGAAACCGGGUCUAAUACUGGAUAUGACUCCAUGACGCAUGUUGUGGGGUGGAAAGCCUUGUGCGGCUGAGGAUGGGCCCGCGGCCUAUCAGCUUGGUUGGUGGGGGAUGGCCUACCAAGGCGACGACGGGUAGCCGGCCUGAGAGGGCGACCGGCCACAUGGGACUGAGACACGGCCCAGACUCCUACGGGAGGCAGCAGUGGGGAAUCUUGCGCAAUGGGCGAAAGCCUGACGCAGCGACGCCGCGUGAGGGAUGACGGCCU
rnacentral:rRNA from 1 species